rnacentral:rRNA from 1 species
AUUGAACGCUGGCGGCAGGCCUAACACAUGCAAGUCGAGCGAGCGGCGGACGGGUGAGUAAUGUCUGGGAAACUGCCUGACGGAGGGGGAUAACUACUGGAAACGGUAGCUAAUACCGCAUACCAUCAGAUGUGCUCAGAUGGGAUUAGCUAGUAGGUGGGGUAACGGCUCACCUAGGCGAUGAUCCCUGGCUGGUCUGAGAGGAUGACCAGCAACACUGGAACUGAUACACGGUCCAGACUCCUACGGGAGGCAGCAGUGGGGAAUAUUGCACAAUGGGCGCAAGCCUGAUGCAGCAAUGCCGCGGAGGUGAAGAAGGCCUUCGGGUUGUAAAGCACUUUCAGCGGGGAGGCGUUACCCGCAGAAGAAGCACCGGCUAACUCCGUGCCAGCAGCCGCGGUAAUUC